ensembl:lncRNA
CCCCCCCCCCCCCCCCCCCCCCCCCCCCCCCCCCCCCCCCCCCCCCCCCCCCCCCCCCCCCCCCCCCCCCCCCCCCCCCCCCCCCCGCCCUGCUGACGCCCCUCCCCCCUCCCCCCAGCUCAUGUGCUGAAGUUCCACCAUGAGAGCGCCAGGCCCCCCAGGCCCAUCUUGCAGGCCCUCGGCCACCCCAGCACUCCCGGUGAAGCCUGGCUCCCUGGACUAGGAGGACGAGAUGGCCCCCACCCUAAGGACAGAGGUGAGCCCGGAGCCCUUGGUCAGGUGAGCAGCCCUCGGCCCGAAGGGAGCCAGCCUCCAGGACCCCUGGGAGGAGCAGGACAGGCCCCGUGCUGCCCUGUGUGACCCUGCCCCUUCCCGGACUCUGGGCACCGAGAGCGGCCGAGCAGGAGGAGCCUGGAGGCAGAAGAAGGGGGGGGGCCUUCCCUCUGUACUGUCCCCACACUCAGAUAAAGUGCAGUGUGCUCACCCCGGGAGGCGUCCCUGGGGCCCCGAGUCCGUCCCCGAGUCCGUCCCUGCCGAGGGGAGUCCAAGUCUCCCCGCCCCCCACACCCCAGAGAGAAGCCUCCAUCCUUCCGUGGCUUCAAGGACCCCCACCCCGCGGCCUCCUGUGCCUUGUCGCUCAGUGUGCUGGCCCCGCCCCCAGUCCAGGCCCUGCCCGGGACA